rnacentral:pre_miRNA from 10 species
AGUUGUUCGAGUCUGAUCAUGUUCAACUGCUAUGUAUUUUCUUGCAACUAGCAGUUGUUCGAAGAAUGUUAUUGCUUGAGAAUACACGGCAGUUGUUCUGGAACAUGGCAACAUUGCCGU